GCCAGAGGAGGCCAACGAUGUUCGGAAUCAUUGGGCUUAAAGCGCGCGUAGGCGGCCUUGUAAGUCUCUUGUGAAAUACCACGGCUCACCCGUGGAACUGCAGGGCAAACUGCAAGACUUGAGGUCGGUAGAGGCGCCUGGAACUCUAGGUGGCGCGGUGAAAUGCGUAGAUAUCUAGGGGAACGCCGGAGGCGAAAGCGGGGCGCUGGGCCGAUUCUGACGCUGAUGCGCGAAAGCGUGGGGAGCAAACAGG
rnacentral:rRNA from 1 species